rnacentral:rRNA from 1 species
CAGGUAGGGCUACCCGCU